ACAUGGCUCCUGGGAGCAAUAAACUCUGGUGUGAUAUAUGCUGGAAUUUAUCGCUGCAUGAUAAUAGCAUGUGCAAAUGCUCCCAGUGUCUCUUUUAAGCAGAUAUUUUUAACAAGUUAUAUCACUAUUGAAUUCAGAUCCUAGCCAUCACAUUUCCAACGUGCCUCUUACUGUAGGUGACAAUUUCAAGCCUUUGGUUCAGUUUGUUCUGUUUCACUGAACCUCCCACUCCAGGCACAGCUUUUUGUUGUAGUAGGAGUGAUAGGGAAGGGCAGAGAAAAGAGACACUCUUUAAGAUGAGCUGGAAGACCAGCCUUUUGGGCUAGUUUUUUUCCUUUGCUUCAUUUUCCUAUAGCAAGCAUGUUGCCAUUUAUAUGAAACUCUGUUGGGUUUCUCCUUUCUACCCUUCACACUCUCAGAUUCCAGCAGUGGCUUUAUAUGACCUUUUUAGUGUCUGUGGCCACAUGCAAUCAUAGCAGCUGGAUGCAGUGCUUAAGUGGUCUUUGAUGUUUGCCAAGAGAACCCCUGGAGUAGUGGAACCAAAACUGGAUUUAAUGAUAAAUAAAACAAUGCAAAUGAGAGGAAAUUCUAUAGAGGAAGUCUUAUAGACUCCAAUUGGGAUGAAUCCAGUAGGGGUCCAGAUAUAUUAAACUAAAAUCUUUAAAACUGUGGCAAGAAUGAAACCUCAUCUGUAGAAUGUUAAAUGUUCCUAUGUCAUAUAAGUUCUAUCCCUGCAAUAGGGAAUUUAUCAUUCCCUGUCUGGUUUCAUAGCAUUUUCCACAUGCAGAAUUUUUUUUCAGUUAGCAGUUUAUUUCUUGACUUAUUCAAUAUGAUGGGCAGCUGUUCACUGACAAGGACAAAGAAAAACUGCGGUAAAAAAGCAGACCCUUACAUCUCUCUGAACAAUGGAUAGGAAGCCUAAUGAUUUUCUUCAGUUGCUCCUGUUUCUUCCUUGAGCUCCAACUCAGCUGAAGGGCUGGUGUGGGCACUGACCAAUCAAGGACAGAAGGGACCACCUGAAAUGGCUCCACUGCUUAUAGUUGCAUACCUUUCUACGCUCAAUUAAUGUGGGCCAUUGACCCCUUUCCUGCUCCUUCACCAGAGGUUCUGGACAAGUGGUUUACUGGAUAUUUCUAUUAGAGUGAUCAGCAAGAGCUGACAUUUAAGUGAACCUUUUCAGGCUUCUGUUGUUACCCAUUCAGAUGACAGCUAUUGUUGCAGGCAGAAGAAGGCAAGGUAGAGAUGCACCUUAUAGACUAACUUCAUCAGAAAUGCAUAAGUUUUUGUGAGCCACAGUUCAUGUCAUCAGAUGCUGUGAAAAAGACCCUAAGAUAACUCUGUAUAAAGGUCCCAUUUAGAAAGCAGCUUAAAAACAAACAAGCAAACAAAAAAACCCCCACCACUAAACAUAAAAAGCCUGUAAGGUCUACAAGCAGUAUUGUUAUUAUAUGCAAGUUUUGAUUCUGUAGACACUACCCAAAACUUAAGAGAGCACUGUCUGCCCCCUUGGCUCAAAGCAUUGCUAAUUCUGAGUGUACUUUUGGGGCCAGGUAAGGUAUAAUAUAUUAGCUAGCCAGGUCUUUCUCUCAGCCUAGAAGGGCUCCUGCUGAUGAAAGGUAGCAGGAGGGGAAAUGAUUUUUUCCCCCCAGAAGUUGCUUUCAUCCUGCAUAAUCAUGGCUGGGCUUGCAUUGUUCCCAGCUUUGAGAUUUAUGUCGAGGGCUGUGAGGCUGCGGGUUGUGGUCGUAUGUUCUAGGAGCUGUGUGGAAAAUGGUAUUGCUUGUUUGAUUUGGCCUAAGAAAGUGUAUUUUACUUUGUAUAACAUUUCUGAUUUUUUUCUCUAUUCUGUGCUGCACACCUGGUCAAAGUUUGGGUUUAUGUGCUAAAACUGAGCCCAUCAAGCUUAGCCCAUUAGAGCCAUCAAACUAGCAGAGUAUGUGGGAGCAUAUUUCCUAGUCUCUCAAAUGAAUAUUUUAAUAUUCUUUUGAAGUGACAGCUUUCUCUCCAUUUCAGUGCUAUUCUUCAUCCUGCUCCUGUCUUGUUGGUCCCUGACUGGGAUCCCACUUGCUGAAGUAUCCCAACUUAGGAAAGGAUUUAAGUAUUAACUAAUCUCAUUGACUUCAGUGAGACUAGGUUUAUGCUUUCCUGUACUGGUACUUGUGUUUGUUUAAGUUUUCCAUUGUCCCAUUGCAAGUGCUGUUUCCUUUGUUCCAUCCAACCUGGUCAUUUAAGUUUAGUCUUACCUCCACUGAGACAUAAGAUGAGAGACGUGUAUCCCCUUAUUGCAUCACUUGGCUCAUUGGUGUUUCCCCAAAGACCCCAAUUAAUUUUUUUACCCUCUCAUAUAUUUAUAACUAUGAUUCAGAUUAUUCUUCAUCCUUUUGACAUAUAAUUCUUUAUUAUACCCUGAUAGGGAAAGUUUACCACUUUUUUUAAAUGUAGAUUUUUGGAGCAUGGUUUUGUCUUUGUUAAAAUAAUAAUCUAAAAUACAAUUAGAAACAGCUGACUAGGUUUCAGGUUAAGAUAGAGGUAUGGUAGCACUGAACAAAUUAUAUUCUGGCCCCAGUUAGCAAAUUGUUAUGGAAAAGGUGACAUAUUUUGAACUAUGAUGCAUUGAAGUUCUAUUAAUUGCUGCUGCCUGCCCAUGAGGGGCAGAUGUUUGUGACAUUUCCUUAAAGGAGCAGUUCUUUGACUUCCUGGCUGAUGGAAAGCUGUGCCUUGCUGUGGAGAUAUAACACCUCCCUAUACUGUAUUUCACUGGUUUUACCAGAGAACUAUUUUUGUCCUUUGAUGCCCUUACCACGGCAAAUACAUGUCUUCCAGUUCAUAUCAAUGUUUUUGUGAAUAUCUGUGAUCUUUUCAGGAAGAUUUUUGUUUGGAUUGUAUGCUCUGUCCACUCUGCUGCACCAUCCUGUGUUUAUUGUCGUAGCAUCAACAACCAUGUUGUAUUUUGGAAGGAGAAGGAAUAUAUCUUUCACAUAUAACCAACUUCUCUGAAAUGGAUUAGAGGUUUUAAAAAUGCAUGGCAAGAAUUUUGUUUAAAUAUUUCUGGAGACUUAGUUUGGCAAUUUACAUUUCUUUCGUCAAGUUACAGGCAUUAGUUACACUGUGAUUUCAGGAACAAGUACUAUGACUGAAGCCAACUCUUUGUGGCAAGAGGAGCCGAUUGGAUGUGAGGAAGUCAAGAACUAUGCAGUGACUAUUUUUGUAAGCGUCAGACACCCAGUUAAACACAGAAAGCCCUUUGCUGACCCUGCUACUGUGGUACUGCUGUUUUGCAAAGCUGGAGUCGACACGCAUGUAGGGGUGGGGUUGUAAACUCUGGCGAUUUGUCCUUCCCAAUUAGAUGUGACUGUUCUGCUAGCUUUCCCUUCUUUAUUCCUUUUGUUUAGUUUGUUUUGGGAGUUGUUGGGGUUCUUUUCUUUUGAUCCUGGAAGGUUAGCGGUGCAAUUUGGUUUCUUCUGUGCCAACCAAUUUUAGUAGCACAGAGCUCUUAAAAACACAAUACUGCUUCUUUCCUCUUCUCUAUGUUCUGCUCCUCUUUCUCCAGCUAAGUUUUCGAAUUGCUCCUCUAUUUGUAGCUCUUUGGUCACUAGGAAGGGAAGCUUUGAAAUGGGAAUAAAAUCUCCUUUCAAACCAGGUCCUUUAAUCAGGUUGAAUUAAACUGCCAAUUGAAACCUAGUCCAAUUUCUAUUGAGAUGGAUGGGUUCUCUCUGAAAUUGGGAAUGUUUCUGAUUUCUUCCUUUCUCUCAUUUUCUUUCAAAGAACAUUUUUAAGAGCUCUGAAAAAAACUGCUUUGCAGAUGGGAAAAUGGGUGGGGUUGAAUCUUAUUUUUCUUGUGCCCGGCAGCGAAAGGGUUAAUGCCUGCUUUCCUCUUUGGUAUCUGUUAGUUGCAGCCCAUGUUGUGAUCAGUCCAUGUCCAUGUGCGUUUUGUCCCCAAAUUUAAUAACAGUUAAUGCUAAUAAAA